UGGGAUUUGUCAUCAAUCUUUAGGCAUUUCAGGGGAGGCAGAUGAGGAAGGAGACAGAGAGCAGAAUAAAACUCAGGAAAGAGUGAGAUUGCAAAGUAAUAGUUCAAACAUGGAAGCACCAGAUGUGGGGUGCCAUAGCACUCACUGGGGACCUGCUGAGUGCCAGGCACUGUGCAGAGCACUGGAGGAACCUCAUCUCAUUUUUCAGUCCUACCUUAUUUGACUCUGUAGAGCAUGUGACACUUAGGUUCCUGCAGAGACAGAGUAGAGGGUGUGGUCAGGAGGGCAGUGGAUAGAGGAGAGACAGGAGGUGAGGUAGUGAGGAGUGGAGAUUGUUUUCAAGCAGAAGAAGGCACCUUACACUCUGGGGGUACAGAGCCAAGAUAAUAGCUUGUGCUUGGAACAGUGCCAGGAAUAUGUACUCCCCAACCACCCAACCAAGGUCUUCUGUUGAUUUUCAGCCAUUGUGACAAGGCAUCACCAAUCAUCAGGUCCUUUUACCCGGAGCUCCCAUGUCAUGGCCACUUGUCUCUGUAUAUAAAGGGAGUGAUGAGGAUGCUGCUUUGGAUGAAUGGACCUGGGGUGGGGAAAGGGGGCAGCAGACAGAGGCUGUCGUGGCAACAAGAUCUCUGCUGCUGGCCAGAAUUGGGAAAUGUAAGAAGAUGGUGAAUUACUAUAGAUGUAAGUGUUCAGUAUGCCAUCUGACGGAUUUACUACAGAAAAAAAAAUCAAAGAAGUUAUGCCAGAAAAAGAACAGGAAGACAAGUCGGCAGCAUAAGCCAAUGCUCUGGUUGAAGACACUGCUUGACAUCAUGUUUUUCCAUGUCAUGUUUUCUCCCAUGGCCAGCAAAAAGAAAAGCCUCUUUUGGUCCAGGCCCAAGACCACCAUGAUCAUCUUUGAUUUUACAUCUCUGCCCCAGGGUCUCUAAGUAAAAUCUCUCUCCUUUCACUGA